rnacentral:rRNA from 1 species
CAGCCGCCGCGGUAACACGGAGGGUGCAAGCGUUAAUCGGAAUUACUGGGCGUAAAGCGCACGCAGGCGGUCUGUCAAGUCAGAUGUGAAAUCCCCGGGCUUAACCUGGGAACUGCAUUUGAAACUGGCAGGCUAGAGUCUUGUAGAGGGGGGUAGAAUUCCAGGUGUAGCGGUGAAAUGCGUAGAGAUCUGGAGGAAUACCGGUGGCGAAGGCGGCCCCCUGGACAAAGACUGACGCUCAGGUGCGAAAGCGUGGGGAGCAAACAGGAUUAGAUACCCGAGUAGUCCCUGUCUCUUAUAC